ACAACUUGACAGUGCCGCUAGGUUAUCAGAGUAGUGUGUUCCUGGAAAGUGUGUGGAUCUUUAUUUAAUUUGGGGCUUUGUCUCGGUGUAGUGUUAUUAGGAGUCGUUAGAGCAGAUGGUCUGUUGAAAGAGAUGCAGGGGGGGACGAAUCCUUAACUGGACCUUUAGAAACGCUACGAUCUUUCCCGUCCGGUUGUUAUGGAGCAGCCACCUGGGAGCUUGGACGAUCUACAGCCUCAAGACCUCUCCACCUCCAGCAUCCCCAGUGUGAUCGACCUGACCAGGAAAGGCGAGGAGUGUGUCCUCAACGCCACCCCCCUCGAUGCCCUGCGGAUGGUCAAGAGCCCCGGCUGGUACCCAAACUCCGGGACCAGCAAUACCGGAUUACCCUUCUCAGAGACCGGCUCCUCGGACAUCACGCUCCAAUCAGGGGAUCAAAUUCAACCGGACAAUGCCUUCUCCCACACUACGGUCACCCUCUCCUACGUGAGCAGGUCUCACGUCUACUCCACUCACGACUCGCUGCCUCGGCCUCUGUACAGUGUGCCGCCCGUUAGCAAGUUGUCCCCCACCCCUCCUUGUGACUCAGACGAAGGGCUUGGGGAGAUUGGCUAUGCACUUAACCAGCAUUACAUGGAGCAGGUGGACGGGCCCGUGGACCUCGCCACUGAGACAGAACUUUUUCAGCCAGUGUCUCAGGCUCACAUGGGACCUGAGAAGGAUGGGGGAGUGUGUGUAACACAGGAGCCUCAUGAGUUGAAUGGUGGAGUCGUCUCCAGCGAUGGGCACGUGGAUACGCAAGCGCAAGGCCAAGAAGAACACAGCCUUUCUCCGGAAAACAGCGGGGGUUUGGAGAACGGUCAAGUUGAUAGCUGUUCGAGUUCAGGAGUAUGCGCUGAAUCCUCGCCGGAAACACUCACCCCUGCCACAGGGGAGGAUGAGGUGCUCUUUCUCACGUCUAAGAAAGCAGACCCGGCGGUCGUCCCGGACUGUGUGGGUGCUAGAGACCUGUGUUCACUGAGUAGGGAGUACAUCAGUCCUCUGGAUGACCCCGUCUCCCCUGCCGCUACCUCACCGGACAAUGUGUUCGCCCUGCCUCAGGCCUCCAGCUCACCCAGCGGCGACAACUCUUAUCUAGAGACAAACGAUGAGGUUGCGUGGGAUGGCUUGAGCACAGUGGGGGCCGCUCAGCCAGGCUCUGGCAUCAGCGAUAGUGCCACGAGGUUGGAUUCGAGCAACAAAAAGCAGCCUGUCCGUAGACGGAAGGCAGUGUUGCAGCCUUUGAUUGACUUGACAGAUGAUGUUUGUGUAUCGGAUGUUUCGGAAAACAAGACUGUCAUUCCCCACAUGAACGGGAAUGCAAAGGCACUACAAAGAACUUUAAAAGAAAAGAAGCUGCCAAUGCGUUCCGGCAGAGGGACGCGGUUAGAGGCUAUCGUUAUGAACAUAAAUUCAAGCAGGUAUAAAGUGUCAGGAUGCAUACGCACCAAUAAGAAAGCAGCUGCUAAGUUAACCGGUGCUAAGAAGAAUGACACCCUGUCAGUAGGAAAAAGGAACAGCAGAGCAAAAGCGUCUUUCUCAGCGAAAACAAUGAAACAAAAAGCAGUAAUUCCAAUGAAAAGGGGUAAAACUAAUAACAUUAACACUGACAGUUGCAAAGACUCUACCUCCGAUACAGAAAUCAAUAAUUCUAAAAGCUCACAAAGCAGCACAGCUCCAAAAAGCCCUCAGUUUGCUGUGCACAAGAACUCAAAGAAGGAGCCAGAGCCUCUUUCUCACCCCGACCCCUCAGUGGAAAUUCACGUGGCAAGAGUUUCCCCCCCACCAACACCAUCAAAAUCUCCAAAGAAAAGCCAAGGCAAAGCCAAAGGGAAGGCUGCAGGUAGCAAAACACCUCCCACUGCCAAGACGAAGGCGAAGAAGAGCAGGCGAAAGAAACACAAACCGAGCCAGUCUUCCUCCAUGUUCUCCCCCAAGGAGCCGGAGAUCAAGCUGAAGUACGUCAACUACAAGGAGGAGAAAAGGGACUUGAGGUUAGACAGUUUUUCGCCGUUCAUCCGUGUGGAGCGCCAGCAGUCAUCGCCGUCACUGUGUACUGUAAUCAACUACCCCGAUGAGGUAAGGACACAGCACAAGAAGGGCCAGCAGCAGCCGGCUCACCCCGGCGGCUUUAUUUCUGCAGCCGUACCCAGCACCUCCUGUCUGCAGCUGGGCCGGGCCUCCACACACGGCCAGCACCAGCGCUCUCUGGUCUGCUGCCUGUGCGGGCAGUCGGCCAACGCCAUGGACUUGGGGGACCUCCACGGCCCCUAUUACCCCGAAGGGUACCAGCCAAGCACCAAAACACCAGCCGGCACAUCGGGCCUCAAAGAGGACGAAGACGACUACAGCGACUCUUCCUCCUCGUCCUGCAGCAUGAGGGGCAGGGGGAGGAAGCGUGCCGUUCCACACACGCCGCGGCCCCUCAGGCCAGGAGCUCGGCUGAAGGAGAAGGGCCUCCUGGAGAGCCAGCGGUGGUGCGGCGACGGUACCGGCAGCCCCGCUGCGAAGCGGGCCCGGUCAGAUGCCACCUCUGCAGAUGUAGAGGACUGGUACAGCCCCCCCGUGCUGCCCCUGGAGCCCUGUGAAUACUGGCUCCACGAGGACUGCGGCAUCUGGUCCGCAGGCGUGUUCCUUGUGAAGGGCAAAGUCUACGGACUGGAGGAGGCUGUAAAGGUGGCCCAGGAGACGAUGUGUUCGGGGUGCCGCGACCCCGGCGCAACGCUGGGCUGCUUCUUCAAAGGCUGCCCCAACAAGUACCACUACAGGUGUGCUCUGGAGUCAGGUACAACAUGCACAGUAGGGAUGAGUGAGUGCACCGUUCACCUGUAACCAGAGAGGGCGGGGCUUAAACUGGGAGGGACCAACCAGAAGUUCAUUUAAGCCUGAUAAUGAUAGGGGUUGAUCAGAAGCUGCUACAUUUCCCACUUCAGAGCAGUGCUUCUGAUCACAAGAGUAAGAACCAUUUCUUUUUUUAUUGGUUAAAUUAAGACAGACAAGGUGACAUGAGGGACAAAUACAUCACACCACGUGGACUACAUGUACAAACAGUGGACAUACAGUACAGAUAACAACAGAAAACAACGUAAAGUUACAAUGAUAGGUAUAUAGGUAGUAUAGAUGCGUGCGUGUGUGUGGAUGAGAGGCAGAUGGUAUGGUAGUAUAUACACAUAUAAUAUGGCACAGAUAGAUGAUACAAUAAAAAUAAAUAAGUAAAUAAAGUAAAAAGUAUAAAUAUGAGAAGAGAAGGAAGAGGAAAGUAAAGAGGAGAAAAAUAAAUAAUCUGCAAUAUAUUAAGAUAGUAUAGUGUAAUAUAAUUUAACCUAAUAUAAUGUGACAGGAUAAUGUGAGAUAAGAUAAUACAGGGCAAUACAAGACAUUAUAAUAUAAUAUAGCAUGAUGUAAUAUAGCACAAUAUAAUAUAUAAUAACAUAAGAUCAUAUGGUAUAACAGAUAUACAUAUAUGUAAACAUAACCUAAUGUAAACCAAUAUAUCAUGACAUUGACUAUCAUAAGACUAAUUAUUAGAAUUAGUAAUUUAUAUUGGGAUGAUAAUAAUAUAUUGCAAUGAGGGGUGAGGCCAGACCGGGGCAUCAGGGGGGCAAGCAAGGGGUCCCCCCACCCAGUCCCAAGUGGCCCAGUCGGGAGCUCCAGCAGGAGACAGGCAAGACGGCAGUGAAAGGACCCCCCCCCUCCCUUUUUUUUAAUUGUACCUUGGGCCGCAGCCGAACCCGAAGGUAGCUGCUGGCCCGUUGCAAAUCGGACCUCCUGUGCCACUUCCUGGUCUGGGCAACUUCCAGACCCUUGGGAGGGGGUCUGCCUGCUGAGGAGUGGGUUUUCUUUUUUUUUUUGAAAGAGAGGGGGAGAGGUAGGAACCAACCACUCUGCCCCACCUGCCCCCACCCGAGCCCCGCCAUGCCCCAAGAGAACCAGGCAUGGAGCCCCCGCUCGUCUCCACCCUCAACCAAUCCAGUCCGGCCCCACCCCUCCGCCUUUAUUUUAUUAUAAUAAUGUCAUUAUCAUGAUUAUUGUUAGGAAAAAUAAAUGAAUGAAUGAAUGAAUGAAGAAACUAUAGUUAUGAUGAUGAUAGAUAAAUAAGAUAAACUAUAGUUAUGAUGAUGAUAUGGUAGUAAUAACAAUAGUAGCAGCAACAACAAUAAUAACUAUCAUAAUCAUAAUAUUCAGUCAUAAGAAUAUUUGUACUAAUAAUAUUAAUGAACACAAUCAACAAAAUGUGCAUAAUAAUAAUAAUUAUCACAGUCAUAGUAAUAAUGAAAAUAGUGAUAAUAAUAAUAAUAGUAAUAAUAAUAAUAAUAAUAAUAAUAAUAAUAAUAACAAUAAAGGAAGAGCAAAAAAUAAAACAGGAAAAGAGAAUAUUUUAAUUAAGGGAAAAUAAAAAAUAAUAAAAAGGAAAAGAAGUGAUGUGUUUUGAGGUGUUAGGAAUGUGUGCAGCACUGGUACAGGCCCAUCGAGGAGAGGAAUGGGGACCAUCUCUCUGUGAAAGCUAUUAUUUUGUUGUUAUUGUAAGCAGUGAUUUUUUUUCCAUAGAGAUGUGUUCCAAGAGAAGAUUGAUCCAGUGAUUGAUGUUUAUUGGGUUUUCUGAUUUCCAAUUUAGGAGAAUUGUUUUCUUAGCGACAGUUAGAGAAAUGAGCAAGCUGUUCUUGUAUUUGUUUGGUAUGGUUAUAACUGAAGUGUCUCCUAGUAAGCAGAGCUGUGGGGAUGGAAGUAAGAACUAUUUCCAGAAGAAGAACUUUAUAAAGGCUAUAUUUGUUAGUGUGGAUACUGACACAUUGUACCGGGCACUCGUUUCAGCUGAGCACUCAUUCAGCCCUAGUGCACAGCUAUUUGUAACUGUUAGCUUUUGUUUAAUUUUUCCAAGUUUACACAAGUGUCUUUGCUUAACAUUGUUGUUGUUAAAAUAUUAUGUUUAAUGCACCCACGACUGGCCACUUUGUGCGAGAGUGUCUGAGUUCAUGUGGAUUGGUCUGGAAAUAACUCUUUUGUGAAGUGCGGCUUGGCUAUUAUCACUUCCUCUCAGCCUGAACUUGCACGUGUGGGCGGUUGAACCCUUUGGAUGAAUCAGCGUGACAUCUUCAACUCCUGUUCUGUUCUUGUUCUAGCAGACUGUGUACUCAUUGAAGAAAACUUCUCCAUGAAGUGUAAAAAGCACAAGAACAAGACAUUCAAAGCCCCUCCAGGGAACCGAUGGGUUGACAGGUGACAAAGUUAGCAGAGAGAGACAUUCACCUGCAGAGGCUCCCCUUCCCCCUUCUGCUGGGGAGCCAUGGCAACUGUGGACCAGGGUUCUUCUGACUGACAGCUAGCACCCGUAAACCUUAACUUCACCCUCUGCUCUUCAACUGCACUGUUAACCCCCUGACCCCCCCCCCGUCAAGUCCAGUCUGACGGCACUCAUCAGACAGACCGCAGUAACCCGCAGACUGGUGACACCUACUCUCAACUUCACAUACAGUAACAUGCUGAAUUUGUCCUUUGUGUUAUCACUUUGUAGUUAUUUAUAUGAAUUUUUCUUCCUGGAUUAAAUAUGAAUAACAAUCAAAGAUAUUUAAUUUUUUUUAAAGAUUUUGUAAGUAUUUGAUUAUAUUUGGUUUAUUUAUUCCUGGAGUUUUCUUAUUGGCUUCUUCAGCAGUUGUCAAAGAGGUUUGUGAUUGUGUGUUUUUAAGUUAUUGCUUAAAGCAGUUCAAUGUUGAAAUAUCCCACCAGUCAGAGAGAUGCUGGUUUUAUUCAGAAGUGGGACAGAGAAAGGGCUGGACGGUCGACAUAUGACAUGGUACCUGAUCGGGCGCCGCCAACACAACAGGGUUUGAACCAACACCUUUGUGGGAUCAGAACACAUGGCAUUAGGUUUUUGUUUUUACAAAGAGCGGUGCCCACUGGCGCUGAAUGUGGGGCCCAGUUUAUGUUACUGAGGGGACUGAAGAGUGUGUGUUUUGAAUGUAUUCCCCCCCAUGCGAGGGGUUUUUGCUGGAAGCACAUGGGAGCGACACUGAACACGUCCGGUCCUCUGUUAACACCUGCAGCAUUACCUUCUGCAGCUGACCGCCUCCUCGUCGUAUCGAUGGCUUCGGGCUCACUCAUGAGGCUCUUUGAGGUCCACAGGUCAGCCUGUGAACUUAAAAAGAGACUAUCUAACCACCAGGAGGAGACCAUGUGAUUUUAUUUGGCUUCAAGCACUUUGGCCUCCCACUUCAGGCUGGGAGAAUUGAAAUGUGCCCAUGUUGUGUUCGUCUGCACGGCCCUUAAAUCAGUCGGUAUCUUAAUGGAACUUCAGUAGGAUUUGUUGAGAGACCCGUUUCUUUCAGAGCAAGUCAUCUGCUGUUUACUUGGAUUUCUUCUGUCGGAGCUGCAAUAUUUUCUUUCUGUUCUGUUUUUGCAGUACAGUAUUCUCAUUGCUUCGAGUGAACCUCAACAAACUUUAUUUGGAAUUAAAGGACCACUCCGCUUCACCAGUGGCACUUGAGUUUAAAGGAGUAGUGUGUAACAUUGAGAAGGAUCUAUUGGCAGAAAUAUAAUAUUUAUAGGUAAAAUUCUCAUUACUGUAUAAUCACCUGAAAAUAAGAAUCAUUGUGUUUUUGUUACCUUACAAUGAGCCGUCAUUAUCUACAGAGGGACUCUUCUACGGAGUCCGCCAUGUUGCCACCCUAGUGUCUCUUAUGUGGUUGUAUGGCUGAGCUGUAUUGGAAUUGUUUAUGUUCACUGCCACUCAAUCCUCCACACUGGUCCUUUUAACAGGGAUGUAUAUUUGCAGAUCUCUGUGCUGACAUUGACAAUCUUUGGUUUACAUCAGUCCUCAUUUCGACAGGCCACGCUAGUAUUAGGAUUCCUGAUAAGUCGUGCGAUUUUUAUUUCUUGACUUGGGCCUAAAUGGUGAGUUUCCACCAGAACCUUUCUGAAAAAGCCUUAUCUGACACACAAGAGGUAUAUACAGUUUUUUCCUCUUCUCACUAACUUUCGGUGCAACGACAAAUCAGUGGAUGUACAUCACCUUCCUUUGGACAUCCUGAUGACUGAAGGCAGCUUGCAUGCACUUUUCUGCUGCAGACUUUGUUGUUACUAAUAGCAGGGGCACGGUAGGCCAAAUCCUAAUGAACCCUCCGACCACGCAGGUACACACUGACUCUCUGGGACAUGUGUACACCAUGUACUGAGAUUAGUUCCCAGUGUUUUUAGUAGUAUCUGUUGAAUCAGGUGAUGAGGUCAGGGCUUUGGCCGGUCAGCCUGCCUGAUUUGUUUUAGAGAAAAGUCUUUAUGUGAUCAGUGUUGGUGUAACGUCUCUAUGUACUUUCGCAUUGCGCCAUUAGGGGCAGCGUCGUGCCGACUGAGACCCAGUGUGUGUGAGGUCCGUUGGCUCGAUGUUGGCAGACCUCCACACAGAGGCAGCAGCAUGACGCUCACUCACACAAAUCUUCUUAUCCUGGAACACCACAGCUGUUUGAUUUGUGCCAUCCUUGUGUUUUUUGUGUGUUUUAUAUUUUGUUGCGGUGCAUUUUCACUGCAGUUUGUUUUCAGUUGUUUGUACCAAAUACAGUUUUUGGAAUAUGUUUUAUUCUUCCAAAAUGUUUUGGAUUUUUAAAAACUAUUUUGUCCGUGUGUUAAUCUCAGGGCUGAAUCUCAGAUAUUCUAAUGAUUUGAAUUUUAUUUUGUGCUCCCCCCCCCUGUGUGUUUAACCCUACAUUGACUGGAGCAAUGGUACAUGUAGCAGGAUGUGGUUAUCUCUCAGAUGCAAAAGCCUUCUGUCCUGGUACACACAACUCAUCACAUUCCAACGCCUCCUCCAUCUGUCUGUCUGUCAGUGCUGCGGUGUUUUUAGGUUGAUCUAGGACUGCCAACUCCUGUCACUUUUUUCAUGGUCUUUGUUUUACGGCAACAUUUUGUACCGUCUCGGUCACCUCUCGGAGCAUCAGAGGUCAUGUAAUUGUCAAAAAUAAAUAUUUUGUUCAACGUU